AUGAGAUUUAAUUUGGCUGCGCUCCGCCUCUUCCUCGAGGAGCAUGUGCAGUGCGGUGGAGCGGCGGCUCGUGCGCCAUGUGGCUCCAGUCAGAAGAUGGGCGCCGACACCUGCAGCUUGUGCACAGUGGCGACUCCACGCAUCUCCUGCGCCCCGCAACCCUCUCCUUCCAGGCACAGCAGGAGCAAGGAUGCCGAGGCGGUUCAGUCGCGAGGAAGAGUAGGAAGAUCAGGCAGAGAGGGUUUCACAUACCUCUUCUACACCGACAAGUAUUUGCUUUCCAGGAUUGCCAUGUCUGUUGGCUACUGCAGGGAGCUCGGGUGCCGGCAAAGGGGAAGGAGCGGAGGUGAUCGUGAACAAAGACGUCAUGGCUCACAUACAUCUCCUUCACCUCCUUGUUUCGGUGCUCCACCUCAUAGUUUACUCUGUAUGAUGCAUCCAGGGCUCAGGUUAAGGAUUUUUCUAUUUGCCGCAUCUGGGUAUCAUUUACUAAAUUGCUCACUUUUCUUAAAUGCUGAUAUGGAAUUAACCAUUAGUUACAGCUCUGUUUGGUUUUGA
rnacentral:rRNA from 1 species